UUAGCUCACAUAUACAAGUUUUUUUAAUGCGUCCAUGUCAUGGUCAACUUGGAACCUGUUCCUCUAUAUAAAGUUACAGUGUUUAAGACUAGUUUCCCUACUUAUCAUUCCAAGUAUCUGUUUGCUGUACCAUCAAGUAUAUGGUACGGUAAAAGUUGUCAAGAGAUUUCCAGGGUAGCCAUGGGAAUGAAAACACCUAUUCUCAAGUUAAUACAUACCAGCUACAAGGAAACAAUAUUAGCAUUUUAGCACAGUUUUAAAGACUAGCAGAGAAAGGAUGCAGUCGGACAAGGUCUAGAACUUUGACAGCUGCAACAGUGGCUACGCAGAGCAACACCCAGUAAUCAAAAGAAAACACUGGAAAAAGAUUAAAACUCAGAGACAAGACUUAAAAACCAGGAGAACUGAAAAGAUGACUGAAGAGGCUUACCAGGAGUUGAGAUGAGGUUGAGACACCUGGAGACCCUCAUGAAAUAAUGACAUUAGCAGAAAGCAGUAUAGGGCAUUUUCUGUUCAGAAAGAAAAAAACCAAAAAUACACAGAGAAUUACUUGUGAAGUGACUGCUAAAACAAGAGAGGACAAAACCAAAGCAUCAAGCUUUUACAACGAUCUCCUAAUACAAGCAAUCAAAUACCUGGCUACAUUUCAGCUCCAACAAUUGCAGCUGCAGUCCCACCUCAGUAUAAGUGAGAAAUACAAGCAAGUAAGUGCCAACUGGGUUUCAGUCUCAAAUACUUCAGUAUCUCCUGCCCUGAAGGACAUUUUGAACUGCAGUGGUGGUAAAAGCCUUCCUGCAUGAACUCCUUAAGGCUCCUUUACAACAACCCCUUUACUGAGGAAACAGAGAAGUGUCUGUAUUUUAGCAAAACAACCUGUUUUCCAAGUUCUAAAAAUAGAAAAGAAAAAAAAUAUUAAAACUGUCUGUCAUUUUGAAAGCACUCACAAGCAUUUCAUCCUAAGCAACACAGCCUCCCCCCUUGCUAAAAAUAAAACAGUACAUUACAGCA
rnacentral:lncRNA from 1 species